UAAAAGUCUCCCAUAAGUUUGUUUUUCAUUGCUUUGCUAAACUAAUAGUAUACCCUUUUCACUCUCAUAACGAAAUGAAGUAAUCCUCAAAAACAUAUCUAAUCUAGAUGUUUACCCAUAAAAAAAAACGAAUCAAUAAAACGUGAAAGCUGCUGCUGCCAAUACAAUCUUGCGGCCCAUGCCUUUGACUUUGCCCACUCUUUAAAUUCAGUAGUUUAAAACUUAAUCAGCACAAAACUCUAGAAAGCUUGCUCUUUGGGUCACAGAGACCCUGAUGUGGAAAACUAACCCAACUGAAAAAAGCCACUGUACGAAGAUUUCCUUAUAAGGUCUUCAUCAAUAUUAACAAGCUGGCAAACCACAAUACAAAAUUUUCCAGCUAUUUUUUCUGUAGAUAUAUUUUCCCUGAGUGUACCCAAAUUAAAAUUUGUAAGUCUAACUAUCCUUAUCAAUUAAUCAGUUACAGUAAAUGUAGCAGAACCCGUAUGAUUUAGACUUUCAGUUAAUAGUGUCAGAACAAAUGUUUCCCAGAUUUCUCUCUAAGCUUUUUCUCAUUUUAUCUUUCUCAGUGCUUCUUGAUUUCUGAUGAGAAAUACAAUUUAAACUUUAGUAACCAUUGAUGGACUAACAGAUAAAAUACAGUCGCAGUUAUUGUGAAGACCCAAAUUUUCAGUCCCCUAAUCUCUUCUCUCUCGCCACCCACACCACUGAAACACUUUGCACCUCACAACACCCUUCUCCCUCUUCUCUUCUCUGCCUUCUCUCUAUCAAAGGAGAAAAUUCUGAAUCACUCUUCUGUAUUAGCAGAAUCCAAACCCGGGGUCAAUUCAGAAUCUCUCCUCUUAGCUUCAACUCCUUCUUCUCCUCCAUUUCUCUAGUUCUCUAGUGGUACGACUGAAGCUCUUGAGUGGGAGGGUCCAAGUUCAUUAGAAAGAUAUAUAGAGGGCAGAAACCAGGUGGAGAUACCCCUCCUGAGUAGGAGUGGAGCAUGGCAGGGAGUGCCCGCUGUAAUUAAGUUUUGGUUGUAUGUUUUGGAGUGGUGUAGUUUAGCACCCU